rnacentral:siRNA from 1 species
AUCUCCUUCUUCUUUCCUUUUUC